rnacentral:rRNA from 1 species
CCUACGGGAGGCUGCAGUGGGGAAUAUUGGACAAUGGGCGAAAGCCUGAUCCAGCCAUGCCGCGUGUGUGAAGAAGGCCUUCGGGUUGUAAAGCACUUUCAGUGGGAAGAAAGCCUUGGGGCUAAUACCCUCGAGGAAGGACAUCACCCACAGAAGAAGCACCGGCUAACUCCGUGCCAGCAGCCGCGGUAAUACGGAGGGUGCGAGCGUUAAUCGGAAUUACUGGGCGUAAAGCGCGCGUAGGCGGUCUGAUAAGCCGGUUGUGAAAGCCCCGGGCUCAACCUGGGAACGGCAUCCGGAACUGUCAGGCUAGAGUGCAGGAGAGGAAGGUAGAAUUCCCGGUGUAGCGGUGAAAUGCGUAGAGAUCGGGAGGAAUACCAGUGGCGAAGGCGGCCUUCUGGACUGACACUGACGCUGAGGUGCGAAAGCGUGGGUAGCAAACAGGAUUAGAUACCCCAGUAGUC